ACGAGAAAGAGCGCGAGCGAACUAGGCCUGGGCCUAGCCUGAGGUAGGGCUGUCUCCCAGGGCCGGUGCCUGUGGAGAAGGAGAGGGCCGCCUCCCUUUCCAGCCCUCUGCGGGCCUCUGAUCCGGAUCCGGCCUGGUUGGGGGUGGCGGGGGGAGGGCGAUGGGGUGGAGCUGCCCCGACUCCCCCAUGUGGCCCUCAGUUUGGAGUGCGGAGGAUUAAUUUGUUCCGGGUGGGAGGUAGGGAGGCGAUUGGCCCCGUGGGCUCCUGAUGUGGCGCUGAGGGGGGUGAGCCUCCCAUCCUCCGCGCGUGGGCUUGCGUCCCCUCUCCGUUUCCAGCCUCUUUGUCAGCUCCACUUAUUACUCUUUCUUCUUUCUUACCGACCCGGCUGUGGGAAUAUAUUUUUGCAGCUGUCUUAAGCUUCCUGUUGUCUAUACUGUGGUUUUGGGUACCCCAAACAAUUAUGUUAUUUGGGAAGCUGGACCUGUAGGCCCCCAUAGGGUGUAUCACGCCUAAGGGACGUCACUGGGUCGCUGGGGUAUUUGUUCACUCUUCAUAAUGGCACAGGAAUUCCAGACUUCUUCAGACCCUUCACCUUGUGGACAGCCCUAAAUUGCUUUGCAAACUGAUGUCACAAACAGGAGACUGCUCCUUUUUCAGGAUUCUUGAAAUGUAGCCACCUCUGUUGUAGGAUGUUGUGGAAAGGAAAACACCACAGUAACGGCGUUUUUGUUGUUAUUAACGUUUUUGCCUUUGACUCAUCGUGAUUAGUAAAUGGAGAGAUCUCCCCCCCAUCCAUCUUCCGCCCCCCCCAUAUCCUGCUUUAGGAAUAUCUGAUGUGAAUUGCUGGGAGGUGAUAGUGUUCUGUGACAACCAGCAUUACUAGAUAAUUAAAACAUUUUGGCUCUAUUAUCAGUUGACAAAACUGCUUUGAGAUCCUACACCAUUGCCUUUAAAGAUUAGAAGAUCCCCAUGAUUGUUUCUGUUGUGAAUGGGAAGUAUUGCUGGCAUGUAAACUAUUGAUAAAAGGCCUAAAAAUGUACUGUUUUGUUUUUUUAUUUUUUAAACCCCUUCUUGUGAAGUGUGUCUUUAACUGAGCAUUACUCACUAGAUUCAAGGUGGUGGGAAAGGGGACGCAGAGGUCAUUUCAAAAAGGCAACUAGGGAAAUUAGUUGUGCUGGUAAAGGUAGCAAGCCUUCCCCAUCACAGUCCAUCUUCAGGAUUUCUGAAUUGGUUCUCAAAUUAGAUUGUAAGCUCCCUGAGGGCAGCAAAAAGUCAUAAUGUUUUGUAUUUUCUGAAGUAUUGGACACAUAGUAGACACUCAAUAAAUUCUUGUUAUUUAUUUUUUUCAGUAAAAUUUCUCUGGCUAUUUUUUUAAGUAGCUGGUUUCCAAAAUAGAGAGUCAGGGGCACUCCUGUGUUGACUUGUAUUUGCUCCUGCACUAUUCCCUUGGUUUCCAGUACUUCUCCCCCUGGUUCCCUGAUUUUUUAUUUUCUAAGAAAGAGUAACAAGAUUCCACACCUCCACUGUGAUAACUCUGGUUAUUUGUCCCUAAUUUUUAUUUUCCAGGAAAGUAACAAGAUUCCUCACCCCCACUACUAGAACUCUGGGUAUUUGUCUCCACUUACUACUAAAAAUUCUAUUAAUUCUUUGUCCUUAAGUGAUCCAUCCCAGAUCAUUUACUUGUGACCUGUUGCUUGGUGUUAUUAUUAUGUAGGUGGUAAAAUUCUGUUAGUCACACAUUUCAAAGCACUUGUAAGAGUGAAGUGCAAGUUAGUAGUAAGAGUGAUCAGGAGGAUUUUUCUCUUUCCUGAUUAAUUAUAUGACGUUCAAGAUCACUUUCUAAUACAUUUACACCUGACUGGAAAGGUAUGUGCGGUGGUCUAUACAGUUAGUCCAUUAGCUUAUAUUUGCAAAUAAACUCAUUCUCUCAAAUUGAUAUAUGUGAAGUUGAAAGUAGUCAGUAUUUGAAAGUUACAGUGGUGGGUUGGAAAUAACUACUCUGAUUUAGAAACUUCAUCUUAG
rnacentral:lncRNA from 1 species